UAAUGGAAAUACAGAGGUGGUGUGUGAUUCUGUUUCCAUGGUGAAUGCAAGGUCUAAAUCAGUUCUUGGUGAUGUGAUGGCAAGGACAGCCAUGGCUGGUGAAAUGUCAGCCUGCUAGCAACUGGCUCAGUCCCACCCGCUGACCAGGAGAGUCAGGAGCCGCACACAGGAAGGAGUGGAAGUUGUCAUGCGAAUCGAAAAAGAACCUAAGACUCAGCACCUGAGAGGAAUAUCCUAAGGUGGAGAGAGUGAAGGAUUAAGAACCUGCAGAGCUGGGACUGAGCCCAACUGUGAACCAUGACCUGUGUGCCACUGAGCAGAAACAAGGGAAGAAACGGGACUCUCACCAUCAGCCACGUGCCCACCUCUCGAGCAGAGGACCCUGGUGUUGGGAGUCAGGCAGACCUGAGUUCAGAUCCUGGAACUACCAGUGUGUCACCUAGAGGAGUCUACCUCUCGGUUAACAUUCUGUGAAAUGGAAAGCAUGGGGUUGUGGGCUGCAUAUGGAGAGAUGAUGGUUUUCAAAAUGGUAAAGCUCUGUACGAAAAGGCUAUGGCUUAUGUUAUUUUUUAAUUAGGGUAACUAGAUAAAACACUGGCCAGUUAUUGGAAUUUCAAAUAAGCAAAUAAAUUUUCAUUCUAAGUUUGUCUCAUGCAAUAUU